AGGACUGGGAUUCAAAAUUCACGGUUUCUGGAAAUCAGAGGGACUCCCUCCUCAGAGCAUUUAGCGAUGUAGAAACGCUGUGACAGCAACACACAGAGCUUCAUUCUCGUCAUGAUUUAGACGAAUGGUUCUCAACCUGCGGCCCAUUCAGCACACAGCUGCAGCCCACGUGACAUCCUCAGGGCCAUACAGGGCACCCUGAAGAUAAAAAACUCACCAUGAAUAAAAACCUCAAAUUGCGGAAAUGCCAUACCACAGCCCGGCUCCGAGGACAUCAACCGGAGACUACUAGACCCAAUGGAAAUGUUCUUGUGUGUCUAAAAUUUGUGUUCACUGCAUACAAAUGAGUAUAUUUCUCCUCGAUGCUCAGUUCAUUUGGAAGGUGCUGCAACAGAGCACUGGGCCUUUGGAGCAUGAAUGGGCCCCAGGGCUCCUAUUACAGCAUCCAUUAUUAAAGAGCCAAAGGCUGUAACUAAUGCUUACAUUUGCUCCCACUCAUGUACUCUACAAGAAAUGGCAUCUAGAGCUUCCAGACUCGUGGGUACAGAAGCAGACAGGGGAGAUAUGUGGUCAAUGAAAGGGUUCUCUCUGCACCAAGAGGCAGAAGGGCUGAGAGGGAGA